rnacentral:rRNA from 1 species
GUGCACCAGUCGCGAAAACUUUACAAUGUGCGAAAGCACGAUAAGGGAACUCUGAGUGCCUCCUAAGGAGGCUGUUCAGGUGUCUAAAAAGCACCUGAAGGAAGGGCUGGGUAAGACCGGUGCCAGCCGCCGCGGUAACACCGGCAGCCCAAGUGGUAGCCACGUUUAUUGGGUCUAAAGCGUCCGUAGCCGGCUGGGUAAGUUCCUUGGGAAAUUUGGCUGCUUAACAGUCAAGCUUUCAGGGAAUACUGCCCGGCUUGGGACCGGGAGAGGUCAGAGGUACUCCAGGGGUAGGGGUGAAAUCCAUUAAUCCUUGGGGGACCACCGGUAGCGAAGGCGUCUGACCAGACCGGGUCCGACGGUGAGGGACGAAGGC